rnacentral:tRNA from 1 species
AGGCCGGUCAGCUCACUCGGUUAGAGCAUGGUGCUUAUAGCACCAAGGCUGUGGGUUUGAUCCCUGCUCGGUCCC